UACAGAGGUCUCAAGCGUUGUUCGGAUUCAUUGGGCGUAAAGGGUGCGUAGGCGGCGCGGUAAGUCGGGUGUGAAAUCUCGGGGCUUAACUCCGAAACUGCAUUCGAUACUGCCGUGCUUGAGGACUGGAAAGGAGACUGGAAUUUACGGUGUAGCGGUGAAAUGCGUAGAUAUCGUAAGGAAGACCAGUGGCGAAGGCGGAUCUCUGGACAGUUACUGACACUGAGGCACGAAGGCCAGGGGAGCAAACGGG
rnacentral:rRNA from 1 species